rfam:Stegodyphus mimosarum contig83842, whole genome shotgun sequence.
GCCUUCGUGGUGUAACGGUAGCACAAUCGGCGCGUAAUCGAGAGGUCUGGGUUCGAGUCCCGGCGAGGGGCA